GAUAGGUUCCAGGCUUUCCUAAACCACAGAGUAGCAGAGAAAUUCCCCCUCCCAAGGGUCUGCUGGCACCGUGCUCCACCUCCCAGCAGGAGCAUCCUCUGCACUCUGCUCCUCCAGCUACAGGAAAGGAAAAAGGGAAAAGUCCUACUUCAAUGUUACAGCACUUUCUCAAAGCAAGCAAAUGAAGAGGAGAUGCCAAGAGUAGCCAUGGGUGGAACAGCUACUCUGAGGAAGAAGGAGGAGUGUUUGCAAUUCGAACAAAGCCCUGUGCGAUGUCUCUUGAAGUCUCUGGGUGUUAUUCCCAGCAAGCCCUAAAAUGUUCUGUCUGCAGGAAAGGGUCCAGCACAGCUUCCCCGAUCCACAGGGCCAGGGGCGUCCUGCUCCCAGGGCUACCCUUGGGUGCAGGCUGGGGAUUUGCAGCGACACACACAGCGAUGCUGGAUGCAGAGCACCGUGUUGAGUUAAAACCAGAUGCAAACCUGUCUUCUCGGGGUUCAAUUAAAAAAAAAAAAAGGAAUUUUGCCCCGGUGUGCUGGAUUCAAACGGUGCAGCCGCUAUCAGAGAGAGCUUCGCCUUGCCCCGCAGAGGGGACAUCCCACGCUUUGCAGGAAGGUGAGGACGCUGAUUUGUACCCUUUUUUCCUUUCCCCCUUGCACCUCUGUAUCAUUUUCCUGCAGCGACCACCCGUGUGACAGUGAUGAGAGGAGACAUCCGCGAUGCCGGCGCGCUCCUGGCUGCCAUGCGGGGCGCACACGUGGUGCUGCACACAGCUGCUGUGGUGGACUACAGGGGCACGCUGCCCUUCGGGGAGAUGAGAGCAGUCAACGUCGGGGUUCUGCAGCUAUCAGGAGUCUGAUGGAGUGAUUUCACCCUGUAGCACCUUGCAGAGCUUCUACAGAGCAACACAUAGAACUAAAACCCUGAUCCUUUGCCACAAGACUGCAGUUCACCAACAAUCUGCCCACAAGUGAAAAAAGAUGGAGUUUCGCUCUGCCAAGCCCUCAUCUUCCCUUUGUUAGCAGCUCUAAAGCCCAAGUUAAGCCAGUUGCCAAUGGCCAUGGAAGGUCAGCCACAUCAGAGCUAUGGAUGUGACUGCUACUGAUGUUAUCAACCAUCCCCUCCUGAGGAAAUGCAGCCCUGACCUUUACAUAUUUUCUGCCAUAAAAAAAGAUGGAUUCGUUCCAAGUCAGAAAAAGCCUGGGAAUCUCUUUGGAUUUGCACAGCAGGAAGCAAGGCAAGGUGGUUGAUGUUUGUCCUUCCCAUCCUGCCCCACAGGCACUGAAAAUGUGUUAAGGGCCUGCUGUGUCCUGAGCAUCCCCUACCUGCUGUACACCAGCUCCAUCGCUGCCGUGGGGCCCAACACCUCCUGUGAGCCCCUGCUCAGGUGAGGCUCAGCAAAUCUUCUCCACUGCCCUGUUUGUCCAGUCAAACAGCAAAGGAACUGCAGCCAGAGGGAGAUUUCAGCUGUGGCUACCAAGGAGAAGAUUUGUGUUCCCCUUCCUGUCUGCUCCUCUUCUCUUUCUUGAAACCCCUUCCUUGCUGUUCUGCCCGUUUAGGAACCAUGGCUGUUCCCAGCCUAAGCCUGGCCAGCGACAGCCCAAGGUGACAGCUGUGUGUCCCAGCUGUCCCUGGAUCUACAGCCCUGCUCCUCUGAGCCCUAAAAUCACUUGCAGAUAAGGUUUCAGGUGCUCAAAGUUUGGGAUAUGGGCAAAUUACAUCCUGCUGUUGGGUCAGUUUUUGCUCUCCCUCCCAAUGAGUCAACCCAAAGGGCAGGUGGUACCCCACUGGUACCCCCACACUGCCCCUCCUCCUCCCAGCUCCACAGGGGACUGCCUGCAAGCCUGUGCCCAGCUCCUGUUACCAAAUGUGGGCAAGUCUCCUGUAGCAUUAUCCCAGAAAAAAGCAAUUUGCUAUGAAGGCGUAGGGGACAGAUGCACGGGUGUGAGCCUGCCUUUGUUACCUGCUUCUGACCUGUAAAUUGUACCCUGCUGUCUCUCAAAAUCCUUCUUGCUGGCAACAAUGCUCAUGAGGGCUCCCUGCUGGGCUGCUGGAUGUCACCUCUUCAGGGCAUUAAGCUCAUCCCUUCUCUGUGGCUCCCAUGAGUUUGACCCACAGACGCAGGAACAGCAGCAGAUCAAUAGAAAACCCCCUGUGGCAAAGGUGGCAUUUAGAUCAAUACAAAGACAGUGGUCAAAAUAACAAUUUUGAGGGGUUUUUUCUGCUUUGGUCUCCAGAAGUGACUUUGACAAUCAGCUGACACCCCUGCUCAGGGCUCAGCAUCAGGACACCUUUUGUAUCCCUGGGGCAACAGCACCUGCAGAGCAGGCGAGAGAGCAGGGCUGAUAUUUCUGAAAAACAGGGGCUGAAGUUUUAGGUUAAAUUUGAGAUCAGUCUGAUGUGUACUAUUGGAAAGUUCCUUGCUGAUUUUAAGCCUGGUUGUAGCCACACAAACUGCUCAGCCCCUGGAAAUUUGUGUGCCAGGGGAGCUGGCUCCAAGUCAAGUGGUAUCUCCACAGGCUGGACACAGCUGCCUUCAGUCCCUUGGCUCAAGAAAUUUGAGCCCAGCUAAAAAAGGCAUAACUUAAAAUUACCUACAAGCCUAAAUUUCAUGCUCACAAGUAAGUCAAGGCAUAAGCCUGUUGUUUGGAAAAGCCUCUAAGCACUCAGAUCUGUAGAAUAAAUGUCUGGCUUAUGAAAAAAUCCACGAGAGCAACCCAAUCCACUUGGGACCACAAGCACUGGAGACUGUGUCACUGCAAAGCUAUGGAAUUUGGUCACUAGCAAAUACAAAUAAUUCCUAAGAAUUCAUGUAGAUACAGGCACAUCCCCGUCAGUACUUUAGUGCUGUGACUUAAGAGAGAUGUGAACAAAUGUCUUAAAAAACCAGCCCCAGAUCAUGCCUGACCACAGCCUUUUGUCUUGUAAUGGUGGCACCAGCAGGGACAAACAAAACGCACCCAGGCUGAUGCUCAUGGAGCUAUGAACAGCCCUUCCCACCACAAACAAAACCACACCUGGGGCUUUUCACUCAUUUUGCAGAACACACUCAGAUUCCCCCAUUAUGCUGAGA